GAAACGACUGCUAAUACCGCAUGAAGCAUAGGGGUCGCAUGAUCUUUAUGCCAAAGAUUUAUCGCUUCAAGAUGGCCUCGCGUCUGAUUAGCUAGUUGGCGGGGUAACGGCCCACCAAGGCGACGAUCAGUAGCCGGACUGAGAGGUUGAACGGCCACAUUGGGACUGAGAUACGGCCCAGACUCCUACGGGAGGCAGCAGUGGGGAAUAUUGGGCAAUGGGCGCAAGCCUGACCCAGCAACGCCGCGUGAAGGAAGAAGGCUUUCGGGUUGUAAACUUCUUUUAAGAGGGAAGAGCAGAAGACGGUACCUCUAGAAUAAGCCACGGCUAACUACGUGCCAGCAGCCGCGGUAAUACGUAGGUGGCAAGCGUUGUCCGGAUUUACUGGGUGUAAAGGGCGUGCAGCCGGGUCUGCAAGUCAGAUGUGAAAUCCAUGGGCUCAACCCAUGAACUGCAUUUGAAACUGUAGAUCUUGAGUGUCGGAGGGGCAAUCGGAAUUCCUAGUGUAGCGGUGAAAUGCGUAGAUAUUAGGAGGAACACCAGUGGCGAAGGCGGAUUGCUGGACGAUAACUGACGGUGAGGCGCGAAAGUGUGGGGAGCAAACAGGAUUAGAUACCCUGGUAGUCCACACUGUAAACGAUGAAUACUAGGUGUGCGGGGACUGACCCCCUGCGUG
rnacentral:rRNA from 1 species